GAACCGGGAUGAGCUCAAAUUUAAAAUCUGGCGUCUUUCAGGCGUCCGAGUUGUAAUCUAUAGAGGCGUUUUCCGCGCCGGACCGCGUCCAAGUCUCUUGGAAUAGAGUAUCAAAGAGGGUGACAAUCCCGUACUUGACGCGACAACCGGUGCUCUGUGAUACGUUCUCAAUGAGUCGAGUUGUUUGGGAAUGCAGCUCUAAAUGGGUGGUAAAUUCCAUCUAAGGCUAAAUAUUGGCGAGAGACCGAUAGCGAACAAGUACCGUGAGGGAAAGAUGAAAAGCACUUUGGAAAGAGAGUUAAACAGCACGUGAAAUUGUUAAAAGGGAAACGAUUGAAGUCAGUCGUGUGAAAGGUAUUCAGCCGUCUCUGGCGGUGUAUUUGCCUUUCACGGGUCAACAUCAGUUUGAUCCGGUAGAAAAAGGCGGGAGGAAGGUGGCACCCUCGGGUGUGUUAUAGCCUCCUGUCAUAUGUGCCGGACCAGACUGAGGAACGCAGCUUGCCGCAAGGCCGGGGUUCGCCCACGUACAAGCUUAGGAUGUUGACAUAAUGGCUUUAAACGACCCGUCU
rnacentral:rRNA from 1 species